CAUGGAAUUCUCCAGGCAAGAAUACUGGAGUGAGUAGCCAUUCCCUUCUCCAGGGGAUCUUCCCGAUGAAGGGAUUGACCUGGGGCUCCUGUAUUGCAGUUCGAUUCUUUACCGUCUGAGCUACCGGGGGCGGGGGGAGGAAGUUAACUCCUUCUCUCACAGAGUCCAGCCUUUGGCGCCAGGGUUUGGUUUCACAGGUUCCGGAAAACGCACAGGGCUCAAGAGACAUAACCCGUGGCGACUGCGGGGUAAAGGCGUGCUGGGAGGGAGUCCUUCCGCGAGCGAGGUUAAACAUCCUCACUUCCGGCGUCUCCGUGGCGACGCGAAACGAACUGCGGCUGCGCGAGGGUGACGGAGCGAGGGCGAAAGGGAGGGGGUGUUUUGGUUCCAGCCGCUCGCCGUCCUUUCACGACUUGGUCGUCUACAAGCUUCGGGUUCCUGUCUCCCCUUCCCUUUCCCUUCCCUUUCCCUGCCCCGGUCCUCCCUCCCUCCUUCCCUUCUGCCUGCCUUUUUUUUUCUAUUGCCGCCCGGAGUCCGGGCCAUUUUCCGGGCCGG
rnacentral:lncRNA from 1 species